UUAUUUGGCAUAUAUAUUAUGUUUUCAAGCUAGUUUUUGGUCAUCCUGUGUUAUGACUACCGUCAUGCCUUUCGUGAUGAAGAGAGAAUCAAAAUUGUGAUUGAGUGUCCGAGAAGAAUAAUUUAUAAAAGCCUAACAUAACAAAUAUCGUAGAGUGAGAAUAAGCGAUUAACAAUAGUCCAAAAGUAACGAGAAGAAAGUUUGCCCUGGACAAAAUGAGUAGUAUAAAGAGAGACGAAACGAAAGAGACCGUUAGAUCCACAGGUUAGAAUAUGAUGAGGUUGUCCCAAAGAAGAAGAGAAAGAAAAUCUAAGAAUAAAGAAAGACCAUUGACAAGCACAGAAAGAGAAGAUUGUGCAAAGAGAAAGGGAAAAUGUAAGGAUAGGAAUGGAUAUAAUCAUCAUAAUAUAUUAAUAUUAGACAGUGACGAUGAUAAUGAUGGCAAUGAUGGGUCAGGUAAAGGACAAAAAAAUCAGAAUGAACCCAAUAAAAGAAAAACUGGUGACCAAAAUGGAUCUAAUGAUGGAACCUUUGAGAAAAAAUUAAAAAAGAGGAAGUUCAAAAUGAGGAUGGCAGAAACAAGUCUUCAAGAUGACCAUGUAUUUGAAAAUGAAAUCACAAAGAAACGAAGGAAGAAAAGUCCAAAAUAAGGAUGGCAGAAACAAGUCUUUGUAAUGAAUGUGAUGCUGGGGCCCAAAGAAAAAGAGAAAGAAAAGUCAUAAUGGUGCAAAAAGACAGUUUGAAGAUGAAGAUGUUAUUAUAAAUGAAAAUUACAAUAAAAUGAAAUUGGGGGAAGAAAUGAGGAGUUCUGUGAGAAAAAUGGACAAACAUAAUGAUCUGGGUAGAAAAUAUACCCUACAUGCCAAAGAAAACAGCAGACAAAAACAAGACAUGAAAGACAAGUGAAGAAAGAAUGACCCAUUGAAAUGGACAGAUGCAGAAACAUGUAAAAUUGAUAAGGUCUGUCUAUCAUUCUGAUGCCAUGCAAGAAUGCAUGUUGGACUGGAAGAAGAUUGCUGCCAAGUGGAACAUGCUUUCUUCAGUUGUUGUAACUCCUCAAUACCUUGUGAUGAAAUGGCGUCUCAUCAAAUCCAAACACCUUGAGAAUUACAGAUCAAUGGCCUUUGAUGAUAUUGCUGAUGAAUUAUAUGAUGUCCAUCUACCUAAAAUAGAGCAGAAGUUAGAGAACUUUUAAGUUAAAUUUAAUAUUAGACAGUGAUAUUUUUCUUAAAAGCAGAAUGAGAAAAACAUGAGACUGACAAGAAACUACUGUAUAUACAGUAUCUGUGUCACCUGUGUUUGACAUGUUCUGUUUGAGAGGCAACUAUUUUAAACACUAUGCUUGGAGUUGUCAGUUAAUUAAAGUUAGAAAUUAAUUUGUUAAAAAAUAAUGUUAAGGUUGAAAUCUAAUAAAAGAUAGCAAUUUCUGGAA